AAACAACCUUCCACCAAAACUCCUACAAAAACCUCCCAUGGAGCACCACCACCACCACCAAAAGACUAGCUCUAGAGACACUUUCUCCUUCCCUAGCACUUCAAGUCAAGAGCAAGAUUCUGAAUUCGAAUUCGGGUGUUUCACACCAGAUUUUCCUUCAACUGUUGAUUCCUACAAGACCUCACCGGCUGAUCAUCUUUUCUACAAUGGCCGUCUCUUGCCUCAUUCUUUCCCAGUUGUACUUCAACAGCAACAACAAACACCAACAGCCCCCAUGGUUCUCAUCGAAUCUAUCUCUCGAGCAUCGAGCAGAACCAGCAGCGUGUGUAGCAAAGAUUCCCUCAUGUCAUCGAGGAGCAAUAGUGUUAAUAGCAGUAGAAGCAGUGUUAGCUGCAGCAGCGCAAGACCAAGUUGGAGUAGUGACAAUUCUGAAAGGAAAUUACCAUAUCACAAUACAAAACUUGCAAGCAGAACUCCUAUGGCUAGUAAACUUGUAAUGGCGCAGCUGUAUGGCUCUUCUCAACGGUGGCAACAUGUCACGCCUAUUCCAGCCCUGAAACGUGAGGAUUCCAAGAGAAAAAAAGGUAGUGAAGUUGUGGCGAAACAAGGGUUGAUGAGAAACAAGAAAGAAGGUAAUCAUCAACAAGGGAAAAAAAGACAAGUCAUCGGGCAUUUGCCAGAGAUUUUUCAGGUCAUUUUUGGUUGCAUGUAGAGAAUGCCAUGCCAUGGAACCUUCAACAGAAGAUGAUAUCUUCCAGGGAAGUGUUAAGUUAUAAUAGUUAUGGCUAUAUUAUUCACUUUUGUAUUAUAGUAUAUUAAUGGGGCUUUUCUCUCUCA
rnacentral:misc_RNA from 1 species